rnacentral:lncRNA from 1 species
UGAUCACUUUCUGUAUUUUCAGUUGAAAAUGAAGAUAAACAAUGAAGCAUUCUUAUCAAUUAUUUCAAAGCAUUUUACAAAAAAAAAAAAUCAGGAUAAAAAUCUUUUUUAACUAAUGAAGAAACUUAGGAAGAGCAAAAAAAUGUGGAAAAAGAAAGGAAAACAUGAUUUUCUCAGUAUUACGAGACACAAACUACUAAAUCCUUUAACUACAGAAUUGAGUCUGACUGACAGCUGAAGAAAAGUACACCUGAUAUUUAGAGAUAAACACUCUCAGUGUCAUAAAAAGGUAUGCCAGAUCUAACCUUCAGCCUGGACUUAGAAUGUCACAGUACAAAGGAAAUAGUUUUGUUUUUAUUCUUUGUCAUUAACAGGCUGGCUGAGCCAGGAGUUGGCUCUAAGAGUUCCUUAAAAAUGAGAGCAAAUAAUGUAAUGUAUUUAUGUCCUAAUCACAAAAAUGCCAGAAUAGUCUGCAUACUUUGUUAAUAGUCCUAAUGCCUUUCCAGGAAGGACAUACAGAGUAGUCUCAUUGGGGUUACUCUUAGUGUUAAAAUCAUGGAUCUGUUAAAUGUGUUAGGAAAUUAUGAUCUUUACUGUAUAAUUAGUAAGAUCUCUUGAUUCUCAUUGCUUAAGAUCCCAGAAGCUGAUAGGAGCUACUUUCUCUAUUUUACAGUGGGUAAGCUUGGGUGCAUGAAGAUAGUCCUGCCAAAGGCCAGGCAGGGAAUCCUUAACAAAGCCCAGAGCCCUUUAAGUUUCAUCUGAGUACUUUAACUUCACAGCAGCAAUUUUUAUCACCCUUUUAAUUUCACUGAAAAAGCCUUUAAAUACUCAAUAUAAUAACAGGUGACUGAAGGAUGAUCUUGAGGUAACUUGAAAGGAGAAGAUUUUUCUGCUUUCCACCUUAAAAAAGCACGGGUAUAUUAAACAAUGAGAACUGACAACAAAGGUAAGCUAAAAGCUAAACAUAAUAAGACACUGUUUUCAGCAUUUCAAAAGAACUAAAUACAACACAUCAGCAGCUUCAAAAUCCUUUUGAACAAAUGCACUCAGAAACAACUAACUGGCAAACAAAGCUAUUAUGAAGAUGACAGUGUGGCCAGUGAUCUUUUGGCACAUCAACUCCAUAAAGUGUAGGCCUCUAGGAAUACUCCUCACAUUUCAGUAAGUAGAAAAGCAAAUUUAACAACAGAUACUGAGGUCAGGGUAUUAUAAUUUGUUGAUUUUUACAAAGUUUAAUAGAUGAGAAUGUCCCCAAAAUGAGAAGUAUAUCCCUUAUUUAUUGUUGAAGGGAUUUGAUUUACUUUAAAUUUUAAAGGAUCGAUACAGUGAUCAGAAUUUCAGAGUCCCAGUCACAAUACUUUAUAUUUAGAUUAAUUUUUAUUCUGCCAAAGCAAUAUAGAAGCAUCUUAAACAGCACUCAUAACAUAAGAUAGAUGUCCUGUACCCUAUCAUGUAUCAUAAUUUCUAAGUAAUUAAGCUGCUCUCAACAGACAGAAGAUCAUGCUAGUUUACGAAGACUACAAAGCAUGGUUCAAAUAAUACAUGGAAAUAACAACAUCCUUUGAAAAAUACAAGUCUUCUUUAGCUGCUGGUUUUGUGUAACUAUGCAUAAGAAGCUGUAUAGCAGAAAAAAAUCUUUCAGCCUCAUUAAUAAGGAAUGUCACUAAAAAAUAGGUAGGUAAUCAUGUCUCAUUAUCUUUCAAGAAUGUCACAGCAGAAUCAACACAGCUUCAGUGAGUAUACUGCUGGAUUGCUUCCCUUCUCAUAGCUUUCAGAAGGACUAUCAUUAUAUUUUCAGUAACAAAUCUUCACAAUUUGUAGGAUUGUAAAAAUGCUGAAUAAGAAUGUCCAUUAUUAAAAAGGAAGGAAUCAAAUUGAAUAGUUUUUCUAAUGUCAUAAACACCGCUGAGUCCACAACGUCCAUCUUCUAGGCUUUGAUUAAUAGAAGUCAUUAAAAACAUGCUUGAAUUUAACUUUCCUGAAUAGGAGGACUUUAAGGAUUAAUAUGGGCCUCUGGAAAUGAGAUACAAGAUGUUCUGAAGGAUGCUAACCUCUGACUGAACAGGACAGAAGCAAAGAGGAUAAGAUGCAAGUUGUUGCUGGCACAGAAGGGGAAGAAAACAGGUCACUCUUGUUAUGCCUGGAAAAGCCUCUGAAGACCUUCAGCCUGAAAUCUGACAGUUCUCUUGCAGACACAUUGCAAUGGCCACCUCAGCUUCCUGCUUUAACUAUGUCCUUCCUUUGGAUCCCGCCCCGUUCCCCCCCCACCCCUCCUUUCUUUUUUUCUUUUCUUUCU